rnacentral:rRNA from 1 species
GAGUUUGAUCUUGGCUCAGGACGAACGCUGGCGGCAGGCUUAACACAUGCAAGUCGAACGCCCCGCAAGGGGAGUGGCAGACGGGUGAGUAACGCGUGGGAACGUACCCUUUACUACGGAAUAACUCAAGGAAACUUGUGCUAAUACCGUAUGUGCCCUUCGGGGGAAAGAUUUAUCGGUAAAGGAUCGGCCGCGUUGGAUUAGCUAGUUGGUGGGGUAAAGGCCUACCAAGGCGACGAUCCAUAGCUGGCCUGAGAGGAUGAU